rnacentral:rRNA from 1 species
UACGGGGGGGGCAAGCGUUGUUCGGAAUUACUGGGCGUAAAGGGUGCGUAGGCGGCGCGGUAAGUCGGGUGUGAAACCUCGGAGCUUAACUCCGAAACUGCAUUCGAUACUGCCGUGCUUGAGGACUGGAGAGGAGACUGGAAUUUACGGUGUAGCGGUGAAAUGCGUAGAUAUCGUAAGGAAGACCAGUGGCGAAGGCGGGUCUCUGGACAGUUCCUGACGCUGAGGCACGAAGGUCAGGGGAGCAAACGGG